rnacentral:rRNA from 1 species
UACAGAGGUCUCAAGCGUUGUUCGGAUUCAUUGGGCGUAAAGGGUGCGUAGGUGGCGCCGUAAGUCGGGUGUGAAAUUUCGGAGCUUAACUCCGAAACUGCAUUCGAUACUGCGGUGCUUGAGGACUGGAGAGGAGACUGGAAUUCAUGGUGUAGCAGUGAAAUGCGUAGAGAUCAUGAGGAAGACCAGUGGCGAAGGCGGGUCUCUGGCCCGGUACUGACGCUGAGGUGCGAAAGCGUGGGGAGCAAACAGG